rnacentral:rRNA from 1 species
AACGAACGCUGGCGGCAGGCUUAACACAUGCAAGUCGAACGCCCGUAGCAAUACGGGAGUGGCGGACGGGUGAGUAACGCGUGGGAACGUACCCUGAGGUACGGAAUAACCGAGGGAAACUUCGGCUAAUACCGUAUGAGCCCCGCAAGGGGGAAAGAUUUAUCGCCUUGGGAGCGGCCCGCGUCGGAUUAGCUAGUUGGUGGGGUAACGGCCUACCAAGGCUUCGAUCCGUAGCUGGUCUGAGAGGACGAUCAGCCACACUGGGACUGAGACACGGUCCAGACUCCUACGGGAGGCAGCAGUGGGGAAUCUUGCGCAAUGGGCGAAAGCCUGACGCAGCGACGCCGCGUGGGCGAAGAAGGCCUCGG